rnacentral:rRNA from 1 species
AGGACGAACGCUGGCGGCGUGCUUAACACAUGCAAGUCGAGCGGUAAGGCCUUUCGGGGUACACGAGCGGCGAACGGGUGAGUAACACGUGGGUGAUCUGCCCUGCACUCUGGGAUAAGCCUGGGAAACUGGGUCUAAUACCGGAUAUGACCUGCUCUCGCAUGGGGGUGGGUGGAAAGAUUUAUCGGUGCAGGGAUGGGGCCCGCGGCCUAUCCAGUCUUGGUUGGUGGGGUAAUGGCCUACCAAGGCGACGACGGGUAGCCGACCUGAGGAGGGUAGACCCGGCCACACUGGGGACUGGAGACACCGGCCCAGACUCCGUACGGGAGGCAGCAGGUGGGAAUAUUGACACAAGUGGGACGAAAGCCUAGAUGCAGCGACGCCGACGUGAGG